rnacentral:rRNA from 2 species
UGUCUUUAUGGCAAAUGUGAGAUGCAGUGUAUGGAAUGUCAAAUUUCUAGUAUGAGAAAUUAACGAUUUAAGUCCUUCUUAAAUGAGGCCAUUUACCCAAAGAGGGUGCCAGGCCCGUAUAACGUUAAUGAUUACUAGAUGACAUUUCCAAAGAGUCGUGUUGCUUGAUAGUGCAGCACUAAGUGGGUGGUAAACUCCAUCUAAAACUAAAUAUAACCAUGAGACCGAUAGUAAACAAGUACCGUGAGGGAAAGUUGAAAAGAACUCUGAAUAGAGAGUUAAAUAGUACGUGAAACUGCUUAGAGGUUAAGCCCGAUGAACCUGAAUAUCCAUUAUGGAAAAUUCAUCAUUAUGAUUUUAAUAUUUAUAAUAUUAUAAUAAUGGUGUGCAUUUUUUCCAUAUAAGGACAUUGUAAUCUAUUAACAAACAGAUUUAUUAUAAGAUCAUUGCUUUAGUUUAUUCAAAUUAUUUUGCUUGCGAUUUAACAUAGAAUAAAUGCUUUUGAUUUGAUAAAGCGUUGAUAGAUUCAUUAUAUAUAGUGCUUGAAUAUAUUUAUAUAUUCUAUAAUAGCGUAUUGAUCAAUGAUUUUUAUGUUCAUUAUAUGCACUUAUAUGAUUAACAAUGCGAAAGAUUCAGGAUACCUUCGGGACCCGUCUUGAAACACGGACCAAGGAGUCUAACAUAUUUGCAAGUUAUUGGGAAUUAAAAACCUAAUAGCGAAAUUAACAUAACUUAUAUAAUGGGAUUAGUUUUUAGGUCUAUUUAUAGUCUAUUAAUUCAAUCCCGGGGCGUUCUAUACAGUUAUGUAUAAUAGUAUUUAUAUUAUUUAUACCUCUAACUAGAGCGUACCUUGAGCAUAUAUGCUGUGACCCGAAAGAUGGUGAACUAUACUUGAUCAGGUUGAAGUCAGGGGAAACCCUGAUGGAAGACCGAAACAGUUCUGACGUGCAAAUCGAUUGUCAGAAUUGAGU